UGUUCUCUCCUUGCUUGGAGAAGGCCGUCUCAAAGCUCUUAUUUCUGCUCCGAGGACCGAGCAUCGAGGAGGGAUCACAGAGGAGCUAUAGGCGGGGAUACACGGAGCCGCCUUCCUGGAAGCGAUUCAUAAAACACUUUUG